UUUCCGUAGGUGAACCUGAGGAAGGAUCAUAAUUGCAUUUUGAAACUACAGGCUGCUGCUGGCUCUCCUCGGAGGGCAUGUGCACGCUUGUUGUCCUUUAUUUCUCCCACUGUGCACAAAUUGUAGACCUUUCAGUAGGCCUAUGUUGUUUUUCACAAUCUCUGAAUGUAAUAAAUGGGUUUUGAAUCUUGGGAAAUACAAUACAACUUUCAGCAACGAAUCUCUUGGCUCUCGCAUCGAUGAAGAACGCUGC
rnacentral:misc_RNA from 1 species